rnacentral:rRNA from 1 species
CCUACGGGGGGCAGCAGUGGGGAAUAUUGGGCAAUGGAGGCAACUCUGACCCAGCAACGCCGCGUGAAUGAUGACGGUCUUCUGAUUGUAAAGUUCUGUGAUUGGGGAUGAACACAAUGACGGUACCCCAAUAGCAAGCCACGGCUCACUACGUGCCAGCAGCCGCGGCAAUACGUAGGUGGCAAGCGUUAUUCGGAAUGAAUGGGCGUCAGGGGUUCGUAGGGUGUGUAGUAAGUUGGCGGGGUAAUUCCGGGGCUCAACCUCGGCGCUACCGCCAAAACUUUUAGACUAGAGUGCAGGAGGGGUAAGUGGAAUGCCUGGUGUAGCGGUGGAAUGGGUAGAGAUUAGGAGGAACAUCAGGGGCGAAGGCGACUUACUGAACUGUAACUGACACUGAGGCACGAAAGCGUGGGGAGCAAACAGGAUUAGAUACCCGGGUAGUC